GCAGCGCUGCUCACUGCAUUUGUUAACUGCGUCUUACAAGCAGUGGUGGAACGAGGCAGCGUAAGGGACAUCGGCAAGUCAGAUCUGUAACUUCGGGAUAUGGAUUGGCUCUAAGGGCUGGGUCGGUCGGGCUGAGGUGCGAAGCGGGGCUGGGCCCGCGCCGCGGCUCGGGGAGCGGCCGCCCUGCGGCUCCCCCUCCCGUU